GACGAACGCUGGCGGCGUGCCUAACACAUGCAAGUCGAGCGGAGUCGAUCGACGGAAGCCUUCGGGCGGAAGAUGGUUGACUUAGCGGCGGAUGGGUGAGUAACGCGUGGGCAACCUGCCUCGAAGACCGGGAUAACAGCCCGAAAGGGCUGCUAAUACCGGAUGUGGUCAAGGAUCCGCAUGGAUUUUGAUUAAAGGGGAAACCCGUUUCGAGAUGGGCCCGCGUCCUAUCAGCUAGUUGGUGAGGUAAAAAGCUCACCAAGGCGACGACGGGUAGCCGGCCUGAGAGGGUGACCGGCCACACUGGAACUGAGACACGGUCCAGACUCCUACGGGGGGCAGCAGUGGGGAAUCUUCCACAAUGGGCGAAAGCCUGAUGGAGCGACGCCGCGUGAGCGAAGAAGGCCUUCGGGUUGUAAAGCUCUGUCUGGAGGGACGAAGGAAGUGACGGUACCUCCGGAGGAAGCCACGGCUAACUACGUG
rnacentral:rRNA from 1 species